rnacentral:rRNA from 1 species
CUAAUACAUGCAAGUCGAGCGGACAGAUGGGAGCUUGCUCCCUGAUGUUAGCGGCGGACGGGUGAGUAACACGUGGGUAACCUGCCUGUAAGACUGGGAUAACUCCGGGAAACCGGGGCUAAUACCGGAUGCUUGUUUGAACCGCAUGGUUCAAACAUAAAAGGUGGCUUCGGCUACCACUUACAGAUGGACCCGCGGCGCAUUAGCUAGUUGGUGAGGUAACGGCUCACCAAGGCAACGAUGCGUAGCCGACCUGAGAGGGUGAUCGGCCACACUGGGACUGAGACACGGCCCAGACUCCUACGGGAGGCAGCAGUAGGGAAUCUUCCGCAAUGGACGAAAGUCUGACGGAGCAACGCCGCGUGAGUGAUGAAGGUUUUCGGAUCGUAAAGCUCUGU